GUUGUCUUUUAGCGACAUCAGUUUUAGCGACUACGUUGAAAAAUCGUUGCUAAUUCCAUUUUUAUAUACGUGCCAAUUAUGCCCGCCUGGAAUCAAUUUUUUUUUUGCCAUUUUUUAAAUACAAACCCGUAAAAUAAAACCCUCACCACUUCUUGCUCUCUCAAUUUUCUCCUUCAGAGCCGCGCCUCUCUCUCUCCCUCUUAGGUUUUUCCCCCUCGCCUCAUUUCUCUCUCUAACUCCCUCAAUGCAAGCUUCCACUCAACCUCUCCCUUAGAUCUCACUCUCUCCUCCAGUUUCUUUCUCACUCAAAGAUAUCUCUCUCAGAUCGGUCCUUAGUGACCGAUUCUAAGUUCAAUCUCUAUCUCUGUGGCUCUUCUCUUUUUCUCACAGAUAUUUUAGCACUUGCUGCAAGAGGAUUCCUUUUGUUUGGGAAAAAGAGAAUUUAUUGAUUAUCUUUACUGGGUGCAUGCGUUAGAUCGAAGAGGAAGGAGAGCAGCUUAAUUGGGGCACUUGAAGGUCUCUUAGAAGAGCUAGAAGGGGACAACUUUCACAACAUAAAACAAGCAACGUUCUAAGGGGUAUGAGGAAAAAAAAACAGGGAAAUGAAAGAGAGGAGAUUGUAAGCCUUCUUUAAUGUAAGUUUGUAGUUCACACUUAGACUUAGAAUAGCCACAUUAUGAAAUCUCUUCACUAGUUUAAGUUGAACUGUUUAAUUUACUUAAGCUGCUUGCCACUUUUUCAUCUUAUUGUAUUGUAGUUUUGUUCAGUUUCUUCUAUAUUUCAAAUGAUAACAAAGGAAAGCCAUAUAUGUUGCAGGUUAUAUAGCUACACACACUUGCAUGGGCUGUGGUAUAUUUACAGAUUAAUUACAGAUUUCUUAGUUUGAAUGUUGUUACAGAGACCUAUGUGUUUGUGAUUUUGAGAUUUUGAGUGUCUUUUCAUUAAGAAUCUUGUGUAUGUGUUGUGUAUAAUACAAUUUGAGUACAUGGUUUCUUGCAGAAUCGCAUCUGUGAUGGUUUGGCUUUACUUGACGUGGUCAAUUUUUUUUUGCUGUAAUUGUUUUCCUUAUAGUGUUAAAGUUUAUACAAGGUUAGGCUUGUUAUGAUAUUUCUUGAAACAGUCUUGCACAAGCUUUGUUGCACACUAUUUAAUCAUUUUUGCUUUGAUCAAAUGGUUUUAUAUAUUUCAAUUCUUUUCUUAAUUAUAUGUAUAUAAUAAGAUCAAAAUGAUUCAAUUCAAGUCCAGCAGGUUGAGAAGCACUUUAAUGGACUCAAAGAAAGGUGCAGGCGUGAGAAGAAACUACCAAGUUGGCUGGGAGAUUACAUCCAUUAGACUUGGAGCCAUAAAUAAGAGAAUAUAUAAUUUUAUUUACUUUACUAAUUUACUAUAUGUAAUUGAAUAUUGAUAGAUGUUUUGUGUGUGAUUGUCUAUUAACUACUGUGAAGUAUGUGGAGCCAAGUUUCAUGGUCAAAGUUUCGAUAGAUUUCGAGAUAUUAGGCCUCACAAGAAGAUAUAGUUCACGUAGGCUUAAUGGAAGAGAUUGGAGCAUCAUGUGUAUCGUUAUAUAUCAAGUAUCAAAUAUUUUUAAAAUAAUUAUAAUUUUGUUGAUGACGCAUUUUAUAAAUUUAACAAAGAUAUAUUUUUUUUAUGUUGAAUUUUAUACUUCCAAUUAGUGAAAAGAGAGAUCAGUCACUUUUUUUGUUUUGUUGAGCCAAUUUGGCUAUCAAAUGUUGGAUCCACUAAAGAAGAAUGAGUUGAAUGGGUAUCAAAGCGUAUGAUUGAUUCAAAUCUGGGUCAGAUGUGGUUGUUGUCAUAUCAUAAGGGAAAGCAUUGGAUCCUUAUAAUAAUUGAUUUUGAUCACCAAUUGUGUUAUUUCCUGGAUUCUCUUCAUAAUUUUCCACCAAAUGAAAUCAAAUCUCUCAUUUCUCGUGUCUUUCAACAUUUACGCACAAAUAAUGCGAAAACUAAGGAAGUCACGUGGAGAACUGUUAAGUGUCCUCGUCAACCAUUACAAUCAGUACAAUGUGGAUUCUAUGUUAUGAGGAUGAUGAAAGACUUCGUGACAAAUGAGUUUUCAAUGCGAUGGCUAACUAGUAACUGUGGCGGGAAGAACUCUUACACAAAGGAUGAGAUAAAUGAAGUACGUGAAGAAUGGGCACAAUGCGUUAUGGAUUUGAUGAGUACUACAUAGGUCUACUCACUUUUGUUAACUUAGACUUUUAAUGAGAUAUACUUACAAUGUUAACCUAGACUUUCUUGAAGAUAUACACACUUUUGUUGUCUAACUAAAUUUUAC